ensembl:lncRNA
AUUUUUACAUUAUAACUGAAGCACCAACCCCUCUACUCCUUAUUGUUACAUUAUAACUGAAGCACCAACCCCCUCUACUCCUUAUUGUUACAUUAUAACUGAAGCACCAACCCCCUCUACUCCUUAUUGUUACAUUUUAACUGAAGCACCAAUCCCCUCUACUCCUUAUUGUUACAUUAUAACUGAAGCACCAACCCCCUCUACUCCUUAACUAACAGCACACCAACGUCAUGUAGUGGUGAACUGUGAACAUCAUUGUCGUUUAAGCCACGUGUACCAGUAGUCUGGCAACUCUUCAGUUACUGGAUGUCUUCUGAGAGGAUGACUUACCGGAUGAGAAUAAACGGAUGAAUCCGAGACACAUGUUGAACGGUUAUCAUCACGGACACGGAGGAAGGAUCGAAGGGCUGAUGAAGCCGAUAGCAACGCUCCUCCUGACCAAUGGGCUGCCUCCAUUUCAAGUAACAUUAGGACAUUGAUUGAGGGGACCAAUGAUCAGGCCUCCUCCUCUGUGACGUCACGGUGUGACAUCAUCAUGGCGCGAUGCUGAGUAUCAGAGAAGCUCAGCUAAACAUUUCUACCACACUACUCCACCAUAACAACAACAGCUGUUUUGUUUAACAGUGAUGGUUAUCAUUGAAAUGUCAAAAAAGAGAGAAAACAGUUAAAAGCAAAAAUGGGAAUCUAAUUUACUGUGCAGAGUCCUUGGACCAGACCAGACCAGGGAGUACAGUGGACUACAGUAAUGACCUGUGAAUAAUUUAAUUAGACCCUGAGGUCUGGUCUAUCCACCUAUCAGAACAGCCUCCAGAGCCAUAGUCCUGGGUCGUAUUCAAUAGAAACUAACGGAAAAAACAUACCCGAAACAGGGAUGAAUUAUCCUGAACUGGUCCAAUAAGAAACUCUUGUUUUCAGGGCCUCCCGAGUGGCACAGCUGUCUAAGGCACUGCAUCGCAGGGCUUGAGGCAUCACUACAGACCUGGGUUCGAUCCCAGGCUGUGUCACAGCCAGCCGUGACCAGGAAACCCAUGAGGUGGCACACAAUUCGCUCAGCGUUGUUUGGAUUAGGGGAAGGUUUGGCCGGCCGACAUGUCCUUGUCCUUUCGCGAUAUAACGACUCCUUGUGGCAGGCCAGGCGCCUGCAAGCUGACUUCAGUCACCAGUGGAUGGUGUUUCCCCCGACACAUUGGUGCGGAUGGCUUUUGGGUUAAGCAAGCUUGGCAGGGUCGUGUUUCAGGAGGACGCAUGGCCCUUGACCUUUGCCUCUCCCGAGUCCGUAGGGAAGUUUCAGCGAUGGGACUGUAACUACGGAACUCUUGUUUUCCGUUGCAAACAGCUUUUCUACUUUGUACACUACUGAAUAUGACCCAAGCCAACUGGCCCACACCGGACUGCACAGCUCCGUUUGGCUGGAGGACAAGCUCUGCUGAGAGGGGAAUGGACAUGUGACUGUCCCAAAUAGCACCCUAUUCCCUAUCCAGUACACAAAGUAGUGCACUAAAUAUGGAAUAUGUUGCCAUUUGGGAUUCAUCCCAUGUCUGUCUGUCUGGCUCCCAUAACGAUGGUCUGUCUGGCUCCCAUAACGAUGGUCUGUCUGUCUGGCUCCCAAAACGAUGGUCUGUCUGGCUCCCAUAAUGAUGGUCUGUCUGGCUCCCAUAACGAUGGUCUGUCUGUCUGUCUGUCUGACUCUCAUAACGGUGGUCUUUCUGGCUGUGAAGCUCCCAUAAUGAUCAUCUGUCUGUCUGGCUCCCAUAACGAUGGUCUGUCUGGCUUCCAUAAGGAUGGUCUGUCGGUCUGUCUGGCUCUUAUAACGAUGGUCUGUCUAGCUCCCGUAACAAUGAUCUGUCUGGCUCCCGUAACAAUGCUCUGUCUGGCUCCCGUAACAAUGGUCUGUGUAGCUCCCGUAACGAUGGUCUGUCUGUCUAGCUCCCGCAACGAUGGUCUGUCUGGCUCCCGUAACGAUGGUCUGUCUGGCUUCCGUAAUGAUGGUCUGUCUGUCUUGCUCCCAUAAUGAUGGUCUGUCUGUCUGGCUCCCAUAACGAUGGUCUGUCUGUCUGGCUCCCAUAACAAUGGUCUGUCUGUCUGGCUCCCAUAACAAUGGUCUGUCUGGCUUCCAUAACGAUGGUCUAUCUGUCUGGCUCCCAUAACGAUGGUAUGUCUGUCUGGCUCCCAUAACAAUGGUCUGUCUGGCUUCCAUAACGAUGGUCUAUCUGUCUGGCUCCCAUAACGAUGGUAUGUCUGUCUGUCUGGCUCCCAUAACGAUGGUCUGUCUGGCUCCCAUAACCAUGGUCUGUCUGUCUGGCUCCCAUAACCAUGGUCUGUCUGUCUGGCUCCCAUAACGAUGGUCUGUCUGUCUGGCUCCCAUAACAAUGGUCCUUCUGGCUCCCAUAACCAUGGUCUGUCUGUCUGGCUCCCAUAACCAUGGUCUGUCUGUCUGGCUACCAUAACCAUGGUCUGUCUGGCUCCCAUAACCAUGGUCUGUCUGUCUGGCUACCAUAACCAUGGUCUGUCUGGCUCCCAUAACCAUGGUCUGUCUGGCUCCCAUAACCAUGGUCUGUCUGUCUGGCUCCCAUAACCAUGGUCUGUCUGUUUGUUUGGUCUGUGGAUGAUGGGAAUAACAGUGGAUCUGUUUGUUAGCCCUGAUCUGACAUCUUUAACUCGAUUCAAACGUUUUCUAUUUUCUUCAACAGACGAGCGCUUCAGUGUCCUGGUACUUAUGGCCUUGUUCUACCUUGUUAUUACUCACUCUGUCCCCGAUCCUGUCCCUCUCCUUGUUCUACCUUGUUAUUACUCACUCUGUCCCCGAUCCUGUCCCUCUCCUUGUUCUACCUUGUUAUUACUCACUCUGUCCCCGAUCCUGUCCCUCUCCUUGUUCUACCUUGUUAUUACUCAGUCCCCGAUCCUGUCCCUUUCCUUGUUCUACCUUGUUAUUACUCACUCUGUCCCCGAUCCUGUCCCUCUCCUUGUUCUACCUUGUUAUUACUCACUCUGUCCCCGAUCCUGUCCCUCUCCUUGUUCUACCUUGUUAUUACUCACUCUGUCCCCGAUCCUGUCCCUCUCCUUGUUCUACCUUGUUAUUACUCACUCUGUCCCCGAUCCUGUCCCUCUCCUUGCUCUCUUCUGGGUAUCCACCUCUCCAUCCCACAUAGUUAGCAGAGUGAAUUGGCUUCCCUCUCUUUCGCCUUGCAGUUUUACAGAUCAUCCAUGCUUUUAUAUGGGAUCAAACCAAAAAAGAGGGUGUAAACCAAUGUACACCUGGCAUGAGAUGACACUGAGUUGUGCUUCAGUCGAAGUGCUGUGUCCUUCAGAAACCAAGAGGAUUCCCUUCUAGAACUAGAAGGAGAAAUAGAAUGGAUUCCUUCUAAUUCUAUGGGUUCUCUCCAGGUCCAGGCCAGGUGCUGUCUGUCUGUCUGUCUGUCUGUCUGUCUGUCUGUCUGUCUGGUGCUGCUGUGUUCUAGCCUUAACAUUCCAAGCAGGGUCAUGUGGACCCGCUGAGUAGCAUUCUGGGUAAUUUAGGACUGUGUCAACUAACCUCAGCCCAUGUCAUGUCUCAUAAUAGCCAGGGGAAGAAGAAUACUAAUAAAAAUAUCUGUAAGGCAAGAGAUGGUGUCCCUGUUAAGAUUUACCUUAAGCUAAACAACGGUAAAUGCUUCUACAAUAAAACAUUUUUUUUUUUUAUCAAUUGAAAUAAUUGUUUUGAAGUUUACAAUCUUAACAAAAAGCAGAACUAUUCAAGUCUAUAUCCUAAAUGAUUGUCAAGAUUCUUUAAAGAAAAAGUUACUUCAUUUUUUUGGGUUAUUUGUUCUUUUUUCUAGAAGAGAAGAAAAGUCACGUGAAAACCUCACUAUAAUCAGACAAGAAAUCAGAAUCAUAUUUACUGUGUAUUUACUUCACUUCUUAUUACGUGCCUUAUGAUGUAACGUGUUCAUAAUCAAUAUAGGUUUUAUACGGUGUCUGUCUAUCAAAUCGCACCCUAUCCCCUAUAUGAUGCAUUCAUUUAAAGUAGUGCACUAGAUAGGGAAUAGGGUGUAAUAUGAGACGGACACUAUCCUAUGACAGAUUUGAUUCAUGUAGAGAACUGUGUUUUAUAUGUUGGCUGUAUUAUAUGAUCUUUUUGAAAUGGAAGUUAAUGUUUGGUGCUUUGAGUGCACUUCUUAGAGAAAUGAACAGGAAUCUCUGAAAUGCCACAGUGCGUGUGUGUACCGUGGGCCUCUCUAUCCCUGUAACACAGAAUAAUUAUUUCAAAGUUUGAAGACUUAUUCAAAGUCUUACACUUAUUUGGGACUUGGAUGUAGGCAUGUAUAACGUGCUAUUACUCGUUUUAGGUUUUCAUUCUAGUUUUAUUAGCUCGCUUGGGCAAGCAGUUCUGCAGCAGCAUCCUCAGAAUGCCUUGUUAUUACAAUUUAUUGAAGAAAAUACUGAUUGUUUAACAAAUCUGGUGAGGUCCAAAAAAAAGGGGCUUAGGUUUCAACAGUUAGAAGUGAAGCCAGUUUCUACAGUUAGAAGUGAAGCCAGUUUCAACAGUUAGAAGUGAAACCAGUUUCUACAGUUAGAAGUGAAACCAGUUUCUACAGUUAGAAGUGAAGCCAGUUUCUACAGUUAGAAGUGAAGCCAGUUUCUACAGUUAGAAGUGAAGCCAGUUUCUACAGUUAGAAGUGAAGCCAGUUUCUACAGUUAGAAGUGAAGCCAGUUUCUACAGUUAGAAGUGAAGCCAGUUUCUACAGUUAGAAGUGAAGCCAGUUUCUACAGUUAAAAGUGAAGCCAGUUAGAACAGUUAGAAGUGAAGCCAGUUUCUACAGUUAGAAGUGAAGCCAGUUUCUACAGUUAGAAGUGAAGCCAGUUUCUAAAGUUAGAAGUGAAGCCAGUUUCUACAGUUAGAAGUGAAACCAGUUUCUACAGUUAGAAGUGAAGCCAGUUUCUACAGUAGAAGUGAAACCAGUUUCUACAGUAGAAGUGAAACCAGUUUCUACAGUUAGAAUGAAACCAGUUUCUAUAUUAGAAGUGAAGCCAGUUUCUACAGUUAGAAGUGAAGCCAGUUUCUACAGUAGAAGUGAAGCCAGUUUCUACAGUAGAAGUGAAGCCAGUUUCUACAGUAGAAGUGAAGCCAGUUUCUACAGUAAAAGUGAAGCCAGUUUCUACAGUAAAAGUGAAGCCAGUUUCUACAGUUAAAAGUGAAGCCAGUUUCUACAGUUAGAAGUGAAACCAGUUUCUACAGUUAGAAGUGAAACCAAUUUCUACAGUUAGAAGUGAAGCCAGUUUCUACAGUUAGAAGUGAAGCCAGUUUCUACAGUAGAAGUGAAACCAGUUUCUACAGUUAGAAGUGAAGCCAGUUUCUACAGUAGAAGUGAAACCAGUUUCUACAGUUAGAAGUGAAGCCAGUUUCUACAGUAGAAGUGAAGCCAGUUUCUACAGUUAGUGUGUUUGUAGUGAGCUGAUUACACAAUACACAUUGAGGGACAAUCAGUGGUAGUGUUUCACUCAAUGUUUGAAAGAUGCUGGGGUACCAAAUCGUACCCUAUUCCCUAUAUAGUGCACUACUGUUGACUGGUUAUCAGUUCAUUUUAAAAUACACCUGGAUAGGGUAUAAUGUUAUUCUAACGUACAUAGCCUAUGUGAUACGUACGUUACCUAGGUUCACUUAUUCCUCUGAUGUUGAGGCCCACAACAACCCUCUCAGGUCAUUUCAGGUUUUCCUACAUUUCGCUGUUUUUGAGUGAAGCUGUUUUAGAAAAUCUCCCAUCUCGUUUUCUUUUUAGCUGUAAUCUUAUUUGACUUGUUUCUCAUAUUAUUCAUUAGAGGGUAUUUUUCAUUUGAUCUGCAGUGAUAACGUGUUUUAUUAGAAUAUUUUCUUUAAAAGGUAAAAAACUGGUUAUGGUUGUCUGUCGCUCUGUUUUUCACAACAACAGUUGUUUGUUUUUUUGUUGCUGAAAACCCCUGAGGAUGCGUCCUCAGUAGCAAGCUAUGUUCUAUAUAUAGUGCAGUACUUCUGACCCGGGCACUGACCUCGGCCCAAUGCUGUUGGGUGCAUCAAAAAUAGUGAGGAAUAGUAUACAGGGAAUAGGACUGUGGUGUCUGAGGGCUGGUUCAGACUGUGAACCUCAUAAACCACCAUCCUGGUUAUUUAUGCAGAAGUCUUAGUUUAGCUCGGGUCCAGGGAGUUUAAGUGACGCCCUGGAUCAGAGCUACUGAGCUGCCUCGGUCGUGGUCUUCAUCCUACGUAUCUUUCCGUGGAUUGAUUCUCUCACGUCUCAUAGGCGAUGUUAUUGAAAACCUUUUUCAUUUCUGAAUAGGAAAGAAGCCAGACAUGACUCUAAACCUUUUGUAUCGUCGUGAAAGCGGAUUAUUCUAGAAUGUCUGAAUGUUCUAUGUCUCUCUCUAACCUUCAGAUCGAACCACACGGCGCUCUCUACAUCUCUGUCCCGACUGAAUAGUUUCAAGGUUUGCAAUCCCAAAUGGCAUCCUGUUCCCCAUGUAGGGCCACUGGUAAAAAGUAGUGCACUAAAUGGGGAAUAGGGUGCCAUUUGGGAGGUAGACCAAGUCACAUCUUAACUCAGGCAGCAUAGUUCAGCCAUGAUGAAAGACUUUAUGCUUUUUAUUUCAAUUGUGACUAACAUUUUACAUUAUCAAACGGGCUGAGACACUAAAAUCCUCAUGUUUUUUUUUAAUACUCAAUCGUCACAAACAACAAAAAACAAACCGGACCAAAGUUGAUGUGCCUUUCAUUGAUCUGUUAUUCAUCUCCUUGUUCCAUCCUCCAUCGCUAUUAUUUAAAUGAAAGUCCGUCAUUGCUCAAGACGAGAUCGUUGCUUCCAUCAACAACAAAAAAAUGGAGUCCAUUCCUAGCCUGGUCCAACCAGACUGAACGCUGUGCUCACUACAGAAAUGUAAUGAUAUUAGGUUGGAUACCAGGCUUGCCCAUUUGUUCCCACUUACCCUCAAAACACAAAAAAAAAACCUAACUAAAUGUAACCUUUAGCACUGAAACCAAAGGAAUUGAUUCCUCUAUUAGAACGAACUGUCAUGAUGACAGAGUAGCGUCCUUCGCUGGACCCGGGCUCGAGUCCCACACGGGGCUACCCCUCGAAUUCGCUACAGUAGAUUUGCUUUACCGUUUUGCGUCCAGACUCAGAGAUUCUGAUGAAUGUUUGAAGUGUUUCCUGACAUUCUACCAUUACUUUAAAUCACUGAAUUAUAUGGGAGACAAUUAAGAAGUUCAAUUGAUUUCCUGUUCCAUUAUUAUUAAAGGGAGAGAUGAUACAUUUUAAAGAGGCUUAUAUUUGCACAGCACCUAGUCAGGCCGCAUCCCAAAUGGGACUCUAUCCCCUAUUUACGUUCCCCAAUGAGUGCUAUCUGUAGGCGACGGGGUUCCAUUUGGGACGUAGUAGUAUCUCUUCUGAUCUGAUUUCAUUCUGUUUUUUCUUUUUGUGUUUUUCUUCGUCUCAUCACGGCGCGUCUUGAUAACAGACCUGGGUUUCUAUUCAAUCCGUAUUGGGGAGAUUCGGCCUUAACAUCGCGAUUUCGUUUAAAUGUCAACAUUCCCGCGUUAGUGGAGCUGCGUUCACGGUAAACGCCGCCUGUGUCGGCUCAAUCAGAAAAUGGCCUUUUAAUUUGACCACUUCAGCGAUACAGACUGAAUGGAGACUAAAGCUAAUAGUCCAAUGUUUCACAACCAAAAUAAAACAACAAAUGCUGUAAUCAAACAUGUCCUUUUUUUCCUAGUCUGGCCAAGAAAAAGGUUAAUGAGGCCAAGAUAGCUACAAACAACAACAAGACAUGGACGUUUUAUUUUUUGUAUUUGAAGAUGAGCACAUGAAAAAACAACUUGUCUUGUGUAUUUUGAUAUAAUACCAGGUUUGAUUUGUAAAGCAGUGUGUGUGACGUCGUGGGGAUGGAAGGUUUGGGGUGAGAAACAACAGGUUUCCUUUACGAGUUGAUGUAAUCAGAAUGCAAAUAGAUUAAAACUAUUAAAGAAACAUAUUUUCAAAUUUUUUGCGGUGCAUGGUUGAGUGGAGUUUCUGUAUUUUAUAUAGAAACAUUUUCAUUCAUGUUUUUGAAUUGAUUAUUACUAUGAUUAUCAUAAUCCUUAUUAUUAUAAUUAUUACACCAGAAUCCCAACUAUAAUUGUAGCAUGCCUUGAAUAAAUGUCAUGACCUCUGUACUGUC